GACAGAGGGUGCAAACGUUGUUCGGAAUUACUGGGCGUAAAGCGCGUGUAGGCGGCUAUGCAAGUCGGAUGUGAAAUCCCGCGGCUCAACCGUGGAAGUGCAUCCGAAACUGCGUGGCUAGAGUCCCGGAGAGGAAGGUGGAAUACUUUGUGUAGAGGUGAAAUUCGUAGAUAUCAAGUGGAACACCGGUGGCGAAGGCGGCCUUCUGGACGGUGACUGACGCUGAGACGCGAAAGCGUGGGUAGCAAACAGGAUUAGAUACCCUGGUA
rnacentral:rRNA from 1 species